UACGUAGGGUGCAAGCGUUGUCCGGAAUUAUUGGGCGUAAAAGAGCUCGUAGGCGGUUCUGCGCGCUGUGAAAACCCGAGGCUCAACUCGGGCCUGCAUUCGAUACGGGCAGACUAGAGUUCGGUAGGGGGAGACUGGAAUUCCUGGUGUAGCGGUGGAAUGCGCAGAUAUCAGGAGGAACACCGGUGGCGAAGGCGGGUCUCUGGGCAGUAACUGACGCUGAGGAGCGAAAGCGUGGGGGAGCGAACAGG
rnacentral:rRNA from 1 species